GACGAACGCUGGCGGCGUGCCUAAUACAUGCAAGUAGAACGCACAGUUUAUACCGUAGCUUGCUACACCAUAAACUGUGAGUUGCGAACGGGUGAGUAACGCGUAGGUAACCUGCCUGGUAGCGGGGGAUAACUAUUGGAAACGAUAGCUAAUACCGCAUAAUAUUGAUUAUUGCAUGAUAAUUGAUUGAAAGAUGCUAUUGCAUCACUACCAGAUGGACCUGCGUUGUAUUAGCUAGUAGGUGAGGUAACGGCUCACCCAGGCGACGAUACAUAGCCGACCUGAGAGGGUGAUCGGCCACACUGGGACUGAGACACGGCCCAGACUCCUACGGGAGGCAGCAGUAGGGAAUCUUCGGCAAUGGACGAAAGUCUGACCGAGCAACGCCGCGUGAGUGAAGAAGGUUUUCGGAUCGUAAAGCUCUGUUGUAAGAGAAGAACGGGUGUGAGAGUGGAAAGUUCACACUGUGACGGUAUCUUACCAGAAAGGGACGGCUAACUACGUG
rnacentral:rRNA from 1 species